rnacentral:rRNA from 1 species
CCCCCUCGGAAGAUACCCCGGGAACUGGGACUAAUACCCGAUAGGCGAAGACUCCUGGAAUGGGUCUUCACCCAAAAGGUGUUAAGAUCAUGCUUUUUAACAUCGCCCGAGGACGGGGCCGCGACCGAUCAGGUAGUUGGCGAGGCAACGGCUCACCAAGCCUAUAACCGGUACGGGCCGUGGGAGCGGGAGCCCGGAGAUGGGCACUGAGACAAGGGCCCAGGCCCUACGGGGCGCAGCAGUUGCGAAAACUUGUCAAUGCACGAAAGUGUGAACGGGCUACCCCGAGUGCCGUCCGCUGAGGAUGGCUUUUCUCUGCUGUAAGAAGGCAGAGGAAUAAGGAGAGGGCAAGUCUGGUGUCAGCCGCCGCGGUAAUACCAGCUCUCCGAGUGGUAGGGAUGAUUAUUGGGCUUAAAGCGUCCGUAGCCAGCCUUUCAAGUCUUUCGUUAAAUCCAGCGACUAAUCGUUGGACUGCGGGAGAUACUGUUUGGCUAGGGGGCGGGAGAAGCCGACGGUAUUCUCGGGGUAGGGGUAAAAUCCUAUAAUCCCGGGAAGACCACCAGUGGCGUAGGCGGUCGGCUAGCACGCGCUCGACGGUGAGGGACGAAAGCUGGGGGAGCGAACCGGAUUAGAUACCCGGGUAGUCCCAGCUGUAAACGAUGCGGGCUAGGUGUUGGAGCGGCUACGAGCCGCUUCAGUGCCGCAGGGAAGCCAUUAAGCCCGCCGCCUGGGGAGUACGGCCGCAAGGCUGAAACUUAAAGGAAUUGGCGGGGGAGCAC